rnacentral:rRNA from 1 species
UACGGAGGAUGCGAGCGUUAUCCGGAUUUAUUGGGUUUAAAGGGUGCGUAGGCGGACUGUCAGGUCAGCGGUAAAAUUGAGAGGCUCAACCUCUUCCCGCCGUUGAAACUGGUGGUCUUGAGUGGAUGAGAAGUACGCGGAAUGCGUGGUGUAGCGGUGAAGUGCAUAGAUAUCACGCAGAACUCCGAUUGCGAAGGCAGCGUACCGGCAUCCAACUGACGCUGAGGCACGAAAGCGUGGGGAUCAAACAGG